GGUUCUGUAGAAAUGUAAAAGAGGCUUCUAGAGAGCUCUGUGGCUAAUAAAAUAGAAAACGAAGGGUUUUAGCAGGGUUUAGGAGCUGUUGUGUGUCCAAGGAAUUCUCGUUCCUUUUCCCUUUUUGCGAGGCGCAUAAUAAAAUAUUUGCAUCUGUUUCUCUCAUCUUAAAUCAAUCCCACCAAAAAAAAAAAAAAGUGCAAUCUCACUCAAAAUUUAAAUUAAAAAAAGAAAAUCAAGAACUCGUGCAAUUCAGGUUGUCGGGUUUUUCAAUAAACCCUCUCUCUGGAAGGUACAAGAACGUUUCCCUCUCUUCGAUCAUCUUAGAAUCUUAAGGGUAAAUUUUAAGAGAGAAAAUACAAGAAGUUGAGGAUGCCUGCCAUUGCUGCUAGGGCGGCGUUGGCUGCUUCCACUACUCAGGCCUCUCGCCAAGCCCUCAAGCCAAGUACACUUCUCAUUCCAGGCAUUGCUACUGCAAUUGCUGUUCAUCGAUAUAAGGAUGUGAUUGUGGAUGGAUGCACCAAGGCUUUAGAGGCACGUAAGCGUUUGUCAGCUAGCCCAUUUGUGGCACAUUCAUCUG